UGCGGAGCAACACAGAGCCUGAGCGAGGUUGGCGCGCUGUCAUACUUCCGAUCACGUGAGGCGAACGGAAUCGGCGUUUGUCACGUGGCCCUAUCUGGGCUCGUUUUAAUUGGGAGGAAUUCAGUUCCUCCUUCCGUUCCUUUUGUGGGUGUGCGCGAGGGAGCUGGGGAGCGGUCAGCGGACCACGAGGUAAUGAGGAUAGAGUCAGCAGUUACAAUUUGUUUCUGAUGGGUAUUGCAAGUUUCCUGUCUGGAGUCUGCUAUGCUAUUCCUUUGUAACCAGCAAGCUGUCACGUGAACUGUUAAAUAAAUAAGGCUAUGAGCAUUGGCCUCGGAUUUUGUUGCUCUGUCCAGAAAUCCCUGUAUCCUGAGAUGGGCUUUCAAAUGCUGCUUACCUGAAGCCUGACAGCUCUCACCUGAACUGCUGAGCCAGUAAGAUGUUGUUUCACUUCUUCUCUUAAGAACAAGAAUUUACUCAACCAUGGUGUUAAAUAUAUGUUGUCUAAUGUGCAGUUAACUUGCAGCUGCCAAGAAGUCAUACAGUUUUCAAGGGCAGGCACCAGCGAAGGAAGCAGGUGCCGCAACAGUCCGUUGGGGCAGCAUGUCCGGGUCAGCGGCGGCAAUUUGGCGACAGUGCCAGAGGGAUCUGCAAGGAGCUCAUUGCAGGAUCAGGACUCAUGACAGGAAAUUCUCAGUAUCCAGGUCCACAGAUUCUUCACUGGAUCUUCAGGUCCCCUACAAACUUGAGGAGGUGGAACCAGACCAGUCAGUCAUCAUGGACCUAGAGUUAAGCUCUGCACCAGAAGUGCCUAUUUCCUAUUCUCUGCAUCCAGAUCCACAGAUCCCACAGUAUGAUUUUCACAGGAUGCAGCACAAUCAGGAAAAGUGACUUAGUCUAAACACUCAUAAAUAUUUACAAAUUUUUUAAUUUAAAAAAAUAUAUUUUUACUAAGACCUUACACAUGUAGCACCUUCCAGCUAAAUGUGGUUUAGACUGAAGAUUGCUAGUCCAGUUUGUACGUCUGUCUAGUUUGCUUCCUUCCAUCUCAUCUCCACAGAAAUUCAUUGUGAUGGAAUUCACCCCUGUGUUCAAACCUCACACACUAUUGUAAUAAUCUUUGUAUAAGGAAUGCCUCAUGUAGUCUCAUUAGAAAACUCGUAAUGUGAUGAUCAGUGAUAUGGUAAAAUGUGUGUAACAACUUUAUGCAUUAAGUUAUAAAUUUUCUCUGCUUGAUGUUAAAAAUACACGUGCAGACUCACAUAUCACCAAACUGGUCAAAUAGAUGUGUUUUGAACAAAGUGUAUGCUUCUCUUAAUUGGCAUUAACACAGUAAACAGAGUCAUCAACCAGAAAAGGGGAAAGGAGAAAACAGAGAGAGCUCACACAGUGAAAAAGCCCAGCAGGGAACAGCCUUCCACCAGUAGACUGCCUGUCUCCUGGUUCUCAGCUGGAAAUGCUUUUCAAAGAGGGACUAAAACACUAUAAAAAGGCAGGGCAAACACUCCAAUACACCCCUCUCUUCCCCUGCCCAAUGUAUUCUCUGCACCUUAAAAGGCAACGGCAACAACUGUUGGAUGUUAGCAGCAGUGUUCUGAUCUGAAGAGUUUGGUCAGUAAUGCUGCUGGAAGUAUGUGUUGAGAAACUAUGCUUGAAUCUAAUAUAGUUUAUUAAAUUAAGCAUUAGAAAGUGUUUUAUCUUUAUUUUUCUUGUAAUAAUUUGAUUUUUAUGCCUCAUUACUAGUACUCACUUAAAAUAUAUCUCUUUGUAGUUAAUAAACUUGGUUUAUCUAAUCCAGUGAGUUUAUAUUAAAAUGUCUGGGUAACUUUUUAAGGUAGUUAACCAUUGUAUUCCCUUAAAGGAAUGAGAUUGAAUACAUUUGGACUGUCCAGGAGAGUCUGGUGGGAAAUUCAGUAAUUGGGAGUUUGUUGGGAUCACUCUGCAGCAUAACCAAGACUAGUGAGAGACAGGGUGUGACCAGUUACACAAAUACAUCUGGGAGUGACCUUCCUGCUGGUGGCUGUUUCUGAGCAGUCCAGGUUGGAGGAGGCAUUAAAAGGCACUCCAGGUUACAGGGCAGGGAUGACAAAGCUGCUCAACAAGUCUCGGUAGCCAGGGGCAGCUCCAGGCAACAGCGCAGCAAGCGCGUGCCUGGGGUGGUAAGCCGUGGAGGGCAGCCUGCCGAUCGCUGUGAGGGCAG